rnacentral:tRNA from 1 species
ACGUUCAACAAUGUUUUGAAAACAUUAACCCAGAUUUUAUAAAUCUAACGUUUAA